rnacentral:rRNA from 1 species
AGAGGUCAAAUUAUAUCUCAUAGGUAAAAAGGCAGUUAAGCGUUAAAGAAUUAAUAUAUCUAUUAAUAUUAAUACUGUUUAUUUAGAAGUAAAAUUUAUAUAUAAACACAUAUUUUAAUAAAAAUUAAUAAAGUUGAACCUGCGAAAUCCUUGAGGGAAACUGGGAUUAGAUACCCCAUUAUUCUUGGUUAUAAAUGGAUGAAAAUCUACCAGAGUACUACGAAUUAAAUAUUAAGAUUUAAAACUCAAAGAGCUUGGCGGUGUUUUAGACCCUUCAGGGGAACCUGUCUCAUAAUCGACAGUCCACGUUAAACCUAACCUUUUUUUGUAAAACAGUCUGUAUACCGUCGUCGUCAGGUAACUUUUUAGAAUAUAGAAGUUGGCAAUAAAAUUUAUAUUAAAUUUAAACGUCAGAUCAAGGUGCAGCUUAUAAAAAGGUGAGGAUGGGUUACAAUUAAAAGUCAUAAUAUGGAAAAAAUAGUGAAAAUUCUAUUUUGAUAAAGAGGACUUGAAAGUAAAAAAAACUAUACGAAUAGUUUGAAUUUGGCUCUGAAACAUGC